AGGGUUCGAUUAUGGCUCAGGAUGAACGCUGGCGGCGUGCUUAACACAUUCAAGUCGAACGAAGCAUUUUUGGGAAGUCCUUCGGGGCGGAAGAGAAAUGACUGAGUGGCGGACGGGUGAGUAACGCGUGAGCAAUCUGCCUAUGCGAGGGGGAUAACAGCUGGAAACGGCUGCUAAUACCGCAUGACACAUGAGAGCUGCAUGGUUUUCAUGUCAAAGAGUAACAUCGCGCAUAGAUGAGCUCGCGUCCCAUUAGAUAGUUGGUGAGGUAACGGCCCACCAAGUCGACGAUGGGUAGCCGGACUGAGAGGUUGAACGGCCACAUUGGAACUGAGAGACGGUCCAG
rnacentral:rRNA from 1 species